AUUGAACGCUGGCGGCAGGCCUAACACAUGCAAGUCGAGCGGAUGAAGGGAGCUCGCUCUUGUAUUCAGUGGCGGACGGGCGAGUAAUUCCUAGGAAUCUGCCUGGUAUUUGGGGAUAACGUCCGUUCACGGGCGCUAAUACCGCAUACGUCCUUAUGUUGAAAGUGGUGGAUCUUCGGACCUCACGCUUUCUGAUGAGCCUAGGUCGGAUUAGCUAGUUGGUUGGGUAAAGGCCUACCAAGGCGACGAUCCGUAACUGGUCUGAGAGGAUGAUCAGUCACACUGGAACUGAGACACGGUCCAGACUCCUACGGGAGGCAGCAGUGGGGAAUAUUGGACAAUGGGCGAAAGCCUGAUCCAGCCAUGCCGCGUGAGUGAAGAAGGUCUUCGGAUUGUAAAGCACUUUAAGUUGGGAGGAAGGGCAGUAAGAUAAUACCUUGAUGUUUUGACGUUACCAACAGAGUAAGCACCGGCUAACUUCGUG
rnacentral:rRNA from 1 species